AGUGAACGCUGGCGGUAUGCCUUACACAUGCAAGUCGAACGGUAACAGGUCUUCGGAUGCUGACGAGUGGCGAACGGGUGAGUAAUACAUCGGAACGUGCCUAGUAGUGGGGGAUAACUACUCGAAGGAGUGGCUAAUACCGCAUGAGAUCUACGGAUGAAAGCAGGGGAUCGCAAGACCUUGUGCUACUAGAGCGGCCGAUGGCAGAUUAGGUAGUUGGUGGGAUAAAAGCUUACCAAGCCGACGAUCUGUAGCUGGUCUGAGAGGACGAUCAGCCACACUGGGACUGAGACACGGCCCAGACUCCUACGGGAGGCAGCAGUGGGGAAUUUUGGACAAUGGGCGAAAGCCUGAUCCAGCAAUGCCGCGUGCAGGAUGAAGGCCUUCGGGUUGUAAACUGCUUUUGUACGGAACGAAAAGCCCCGGGUUAAUACCCUGGGGUCAUGACGGUACCGUAAGAAUAAGCACCGGCUAACUACGUGCCAGCCGCCGCAGUAA
rnacentral:rRNA from 1 species